UGAAGUGAUGAUGCCUGAUUA
rnacentral:miRNA from 1 species